AUUGAACGCUGGCGGCAGGCUUAACACAUGCAAGUCGAGCGGAGACUUCGGUCUUAGCGGCGAACGGGUGAGGAAUGCCUGGGAAUCUGCCUGUUAGUGGGGGAUAACGAUCCGAAAGGAUCGCUAAUACCGCAUACGUCCUACGGGAGAAAGCAGGGGACCUUCGGGCCUUGCGCUAACAGAUGAGCCCAGGUCGGAUUAGCUAGUUGGUGGGGUAAAGGCUCACCAAGGCGACGAUCCGUAGCUGGUCUGAGAGGAUGAUCAGCCACACUGGAACUGAGACACGGUCCAGACUCCUACGGGAGGCAGCAGUGGGGAAUAUUGGACAAUGGGGGAAAGCCUGACGCAGCCAUGCCGCGUGAGUGAUGAAGGCCCUCGGGUCGUAAAGCUCUGUCGGGAGGGACGAAGGGUGGCAACACUCUGACGGUACCUCGCAAGAAAGCACCGGCUAACUCCGUGCCAGCAGCGCGGUAAU
rnacentral:rRNA from 1 species